CAGAGCAGCUCUUUGUCUCCUCUUCCUCCUUUCUGGCACGCCACGUUGUCAUGCCUUGGCGCAGUGGUGCAUGUGGAUUCCUCUGCCUCCUCCCUUGUGUGCCACUGGGCUGGUUGUGAAAAGGGGGAGGAAGCAGAAGAGGAAGUGAGGAAAGGACAGCAGAGUGCUGGUGCUGCUCUCUCCCCAGUACUCUACUGCCUUUUCCAAAUUUCCUCUUUUUCUUUUUUACAUUUAUAUCCUACUCUUCCUCCAAGGAGCCCAGAGUGAUGUACAUGGUUAUGUUUAUCCUCACAACAAUCCUUUGAGGUAGGUUAGGCUGAGAGAUAUGUGACUGGUCCAGGGACACCUAGUGAGUUUCAUGACUGAAUGGGGAUUUGAAACCCAGGUCUUCCAAGUCCUAGUCAAACACUCUAACCACUACAUCACACUAGAGAAAGCUCUUCCAAGUGGCAGACAACAUCUUGCCUCAAUAACUGGUACACUCAUUUUGUGGUGGUGGCUGUUGCCCUGCUUUAAAGGCAGAGAAAGUGGAGGAGAAAGUGGUGAAUGUGUGCACACAUGAAAUGAAGCAGCCAUCAUGACCACUACUUGAAGCAUAAAGACGAGGGUGCGUGUGAGGGGUGUAGGGCAGUUAGCACCACUGCCCCCUCUAAUAGGGAUUCCCAGGUGUUGUUCACAACUCCCAGCAUCUUUAGCUGCAAUGGCCUUUGGCUGGGAAUUCUGGGAACUGUAGUCAACAACAUCUGAGAAUCCCUGUUAGAGGGGACACUGGUUGGCAUGCUGCCUUAGGUGCCCAGAGAGCUGCAAACGUGCAAGCCAGACCACAUGUUUAAUGUAAUGUAUAGUUUGGCCUCCAGUUCCCAAGAGCAGGAAGGGUCCUAACUAUAGGAGCCACUUCACAAUUAAAAUCUACACACAGAACAGCAUGCAUGGAAGAAGGUACUUAGGAAGCCCCAUUAUAUGCACCAAGUCACCCACUUUUACAGUAUAUCCCACCUUUCCCCAUGGAACUCAAGGCAGCGUACAUAGGAUUCCCAGCAGACACUAACCAGCCCCAGACCUGCUUCGCUUUAUCAAGGCUGCUGCAUCAUGGGCUUUCAGCCUAGGUCCUGAAACCAUAAAGCUCAGAAUCUAGCUGGUGUUAAAAGAAGCUGUUCAUACAUAAGACUAAGAGAUUAUCCUACAGCAUAGUGAGAGCUCAGUUGCAACUCUGGGUCCUUCUUUCUUAUAUCGCCAUUCACUAGAAAUAAUGAAGACUCAACACCCAACUGCUCUCUUGUUAAUAAAAGAAAUUUAAUAGUUUAAAUUAAAAAUUGUUCUGUUAGACACCGAAGACAGAAACGAAUACUGUCACACAUACCCUUUUGGCAUCAGAUUCUCAGACAGUUUGAGAUUCUAUAUAUUUUUCCAACAGGUUAAGAAACCACCAUCCUCUUAUACAUAUAUAUAUAGUAAUAUGAAGUUGAUUCCAUAAAAUAUCAAAUAAUCUUUCUUUUAAAAGUUUAAUAUAUUAGAUUCUGUGUGCCAAAAUGACAUCUUUAUACAUAAUGCUGCUUAUAUAAUAUACAGUUGUGUGUGUUUUUCUCCCCUUAGAAUAGACAUUCCCCCCCCCUUGUUUUUGUACAUCAUUCUUACAGAUCCAUGGAGUCAAGUUAUUGCUGAAGGCUGACCAAACCGUUGACAUUACCUGAAUGUUCAGUAGCUUAUCAUCACUGUACAACAUGUUAUGGGCCUUUUUGGAACCAGUUUACUUUCUCUUUUCUAGGCAACACAGGAAAACAGUUGCAUUUUAGAGCUAAGCCAUGAUGUUAACAUUUAACUAAGACCAUAUCUAUAUUACCACCUUGAAGGGCUUCAGUUCUCCAGUGGUAACAUUAUGCUAAUAUCCUUGAGUGCAGGACCAGAAGUUUCCCAGCCUGGUACCAAGAAUGGGCAAGGCUCUGUGAUCCUCAAACCUGCUUCUUCUGGAAUAGUCUCAUUAAAACUACACUGCUCAAGGGAAAAGAGUUUCAGGGUCGGGGCUUCAGUCUCACCCUGUGUAAGUCAUUGGGGGGAACUGUGCAACUUCAAAACAUUAUGAAACUGUGCAACAGCAAAACCAACUAUGGGCAUAAAAGUUGGAUGAAUUAAAAGAGGCUUAUUUUUCCAUGGUGGAUGUAGUCAAAACAUUUUCUGUGGUGUGUGUGCGCGCGAGCACAUGUGUGUGAGCAUAUGCAUGCAGGAAAAUCAUCAAGAAAAGGUAGAUCAGUAGACACUUUAGCUACAUAACCUAUUCGGCCAUCUCGUUUAACUCGGAAGCAAAACCGAACAGUGGUUCAGAGGCAUGACACAGUAUUUCCAUGGGCACAAAUGGAAGCUUUUUUCACUUGCGUGGGUGGCAGUGUGUAAUCUGGAUUGGGACAGGGGCAAAAGACCAAAGCCUGCCCUCCCCCAUUCCAGUCUGAUUCACGCAGCUCCAUAUGUGCUAUUUAUAAAGUGGGGCAGAGGAUAAAUGCAGUCAAACAAUAAAUUUGAAGCAGGGCUAGACAAAUCCCAGACACCAGGGAGCCAUGGUGCCUAGAUUAGGAUAUUCAAAGGUAGAGAUAUUUCAUAAAAUCUUGUAUUUGUCCUAGGCAACCCUGCUUCUGUUUGCAGUAUGUUACUUGUAAAGGGGAUAUUAAGAAGCCCAUUUACCUCCCUCCCACCACAAUGUCCAUCACUGAGUCCAGUAAUUUUGUCAAGUGUCCAUUGCCUGGCUCCUAAAUUCAAAGAAAAUAGAUCAAGGCCUGAUUUAAAGUAAAUCCUAGGCUGACCCUUGGGUUUGCAACAAACUGUGUGGAAUCAUUUCCUUAUAGACCCUCUUCACGUAAUGGUCUGGUUCAGACAUCAUGUCUAGCCAUGGUUUAAUCAUGGCCCUGCUGGAUGUUAACAAGCCUUUGGCUUACACACCUGUUGCAUGUAGACGUGUAGUUCUGGUUUAGAACAGACUGGGAUUUACUGUGAUGUCUGAACCAAGCGAAUUCCAAUUUAUUCUAAUCAGAGUUAAUCAAAACCCAGAAUAUGAAACAGAGAUUGAAGGCAAGGGACAGCACAUGAGUCCUGGGCUUGUGAAUGCUGAACGGUGCCACAAUUAAUUCAUGGCUCCCUGUGAUGUCUGAAUCAGGCUUUUGCUUGCAUAGGGAAAUGGUAAUUUCACGGUAGGGAAAAAGAAUGUGCCCAAUAUUGUUUGAAAUGUGGCAUGAACAUUCUUUUAAAAUGAGAAUACUGAUUGGGCAGUGAUGAGAAUAGUGGCUACCCAAUCAGUGCAGUCACAGCAGAAAGCACAAUCUAUGCCACACAUCAUACAAUACAAUGUACACUCAUUUUACUACACAGAUUCAUAUAGGAAAUCCUUAAACUGCAGUCUGUUUCCCCUGCCCACAGAGACACAUGCUAGAGGAAAAAGUGCUGGAGGUCAUGCAUCGAGACCAAAAGAGCACACUGGUGAAAAUCAGUGAGCAAUUAUUAUUCUGAAAAAUUCAGCAUUUAAAGUAUGGAAGCUGCAAGCAGUUUCAAAUGCACAAUGCAUUUAUAUGAAUGUUAACUUGUCACUUUUUCUGCCUGGGAUCCUUGGGCUUCCAGCCAAUCUGUGAUUGGAAAAUGCGGUCAAGAAUCACAAUGAUGCAGUGAUACAAAUCACUCAUCGUUCAUAGACUGCGAUAGUCGAUUAUACAUCCAACUGCAUAAUCUGUCAUAGCUUUAGCAGUGAAUGUUAUGAUUUCUGGAGACUGAAAAAUGGCCAUGUGCAAUAGCCUUUACUCUCCAGCAGAGGAGAAAGGAGAGGCUUAUGUUCAGAAAACGUGAACUGGAUUUUAAAGUGCUAUGUCAAAUUCAAAAAAUUAAUAAAGCAACAGCACACAGCCUUGAACAACCCAAUGCUCUUUGUGUACACAAAUACAUUACUCUAUUUUGGUCUUUCCAUCUGGUGAAAGACAAUACCUUAUGUCAGUGCAUUUACAUAGUUGUAGCGAAAAGGGGGUGGAAGUGUCAGGCAGUAAAUCUAGCAGAUAUGUUUGUACCACAAAACAAACGGAUAUAAAUUGAUCCUCCUCUGAACCCUGAGAAUUGCAGGCUAAAGCUCUCCACCAAUCAGCAGCCUCAAAAACCUGCAAUUUCCCAGCAUUCCUUGCAGGAAAGUUACAGUUAAGCUCACUUGGGUCCCUCCCUUGUCUCAAGAGCUCCACCUUGAGGAAACGUCUCAAGAAGGUCUACAUAUCGUAGGGAAUGAGAGAGAAAUGAAAGCUACUGAACUUCUUCUGAACUUUUACCCUGAGAUCGUAAUUCACAUGUUCCCCUAAUACAUUCUCUGGGGUAAAUAACUGAUCUGAAAAUAUUUACAUUAAGAAGAAGUGUGUUAAUGUGUGGGGUGUAUGAUCUGUAGUAAUGAUUUCAGUACAGUUCAUACUGCAAAAAGAUUUCCAGCAUGUCCAGUAUGUAGUUUGCCAUGUAAACCUGGAGUAAUUUCUGCUACAUGCUCACACUUGUUUGCUGGGGAAAUUAUGCCAGGAAUAUGCCCAGAUUUCUUUUAUUAAAAUUAGGUAUUUUCAAGCCCAGAAAUCUGGCCACCAGAUUGCUGUUAGGGGCCCUCACAGGAAGAACUCGUGAGGAAAGGAAAAAAGUAGUAAACAUCAGAGUGUGAUACAAAAUUCCCAAUAGAAUUGGGAGAGUUUGCCAAACACACACACCAGAGACUUCAGUGUGUAAGAGCCAUUUCAAUAGUAGCAUCUGUGAACCAAAAAGAUUCUCCAAGACUCAAAAGUGGCAAGAAAUUAAUGUCGAGAUGAAUGGAAGCAGAUGUUUUUGCCCCUUAUAUCACUUCUCCAACAGUAGCUUGGGAAAACUCAAAAGGCAGUCGUCUUUCGAUGGAAUAUGACCAACGUAAACUGGAAUUUACCAGUUUAACAUCUCAAGAUAUGCACAAGUGCAAAAGGAAGGACAACCAAUGGAGAAGGUUAGACAUGAACCAUACACUUCUUUCGUUUGUAUCAGUCCUCUAAGGAGCAUACAAGAUUCCACCCAUCUAAAAAGUGAUGAAGCUUACAAAGGAGAUCCAUCCAUGUCCUCUCUGUUUGUUUACAAAGAGCCGAGCAGGAAAUAAUGGCUCAGAAAUUGGUGAUGGGAUGUAGAUCCCUACUGUGUUGUCACAUAAAUAAGCAAAGUUUUCAGACUGCU